AUUGAACGCUGGCGGCAUGCCUUACACAUGCAAGUCGAACGGCAGCAUGAUCUAGCUUGCUUGAUUGAUGGCGAGUGGCGCACGGGUGAGUAAUACAUCGGAACGUGCCCUGUUGUGGGGGAUAACUAGUCGAAAGAUUAUCUAAUACCGCAUACGACCUGAGGGUGAAAGUGGGUGACCGCAAUGCCUCAUGCUUUAGGUGCUUCCGAUGUCUGAUUAGCUUGUUUGUUAGGUAAAGGCUCACCAAGGCGACGAUCAGUAGCUGGUCUGUGAGGACGAUCAGCCACACUGGAACUGAGACACGGCCCAGACUCCUACGGGAGGCAGAAGUGGGGAAUGUUGGACAAUGGGCGAAAGCCUGAUCCAGCAAUGCCGCGUGUGUGAAGAAGGCCUUCGGGUUGUAAAGCACUUUUGUCCGGAAAGAAAUGGCUCUGGUUAAUACCUGGGGUCGAUGACGGUACCGGAAGAAUAAGGACCGGCUAACUACGUG
rnacentral:rRNA from 1 species